UUAUAGAAGGUCCCUGCAGAUUUUAACUCUCAACUAAACAGAUGUUAACAUGGGGGUGAGAUCUGAGAAUGCUAGCAUAAAUUUACAGAGACAAAUCCAUAGAUAUCUUCAUCAUCACAAGUAGGAAAGACUGUAUGCAGAUGGUAAGAGGUUGAAGAAACCAGAAAUCUUUUUUUUUUUUUUUCAGACGGAGUCUCACUCUAGCCUAGCUGGAGUGCAGUGGCGUGAUCUCCACUCACUGCAAGCUCUGCCUACCGGGUUCACGCCAUUCUCCUGUCUCAGCCUCCAGAGUAGCUGGGCCUACAGGCGCCCGCCACCACGCCUG
rnacentral:lncRNA from 1 species